AAGAUACUAGUAAAAGUAAAUAUUACACUGCCUUGUCAAGGCAGAAUCGUGGGAUAAACGCCCGCGUAUCUUA
rnacentral:tRNA from 1 species